UUCACUGUACACCCCGCAUUUUUCUCUUCUUCUUCAUUCCGCCAACAACCCAGCAGCUCUCCUUCCUCAACUCCGGUCACAACAACGACUUUCACCUUAACUCCAUUCGGCAGCCUCCUUCACUACAACAAUUUUGACUAUAUGUAACAGCAAAAAUAUUACAUAAAUGAAGAAGCGUUAUUAAUGAGCAAAUGAAAAAAAAAAAAAAACACGGAGACAAGUCCUACAUUUUUAGGCGCCAAAUGAAAAAGAAACAAGCGCCAUAUGAAAAUUUGGUCUAAUCCUAGAAGAAAAGAAAAAAAAGUGAACAACCACAGAAAUUUCUCUAAUCGCUCAUCUGCUCUCAUUGAAUCCCUAAACCCUAAACUACCCAAAACAGCUCCCUAAAUCAGUGUCACCUCCCUCUUCCUCUCUCUCUCACUUAGUUUCCUCAGCCCUCUCUCUCUCAUGCGAGUCGCUGAAACACACCAUGACCGUGCCAGCUUCCCCGUCAUUCUUUCUCUCUGAAACACACUCGGACCUCUAUUUUUCUGUGAGACACCAAUUUCUCAGCCUAGAGAGAGAGCGAGAGAGGGAGUUGCACACAGAGAUGGCAGGUCAGAUUGUUAAAGCUAGGAGGGAGAAGCUGGAAGCAUGCAUGACAUGUCCUCUUUGUAAUAAGCUCUUGAGCGAAGCUACUACCAUCUCUCUCUGCCUCCACAUGUGUGGAAUCUUUCAAAGAUGCAAAUCAGAAGCCAGCGGGCAAAACAAAAUGUGAUCUUGCUUUGAGGGGAGGACAUUCUCAAGAAAACUUUAAUCUGAUUUCUAUGCUCAUGGAUGAUGAAGAGCUGGAGGGGAGAGAAUUACAAGCAGUAUCAAAUAGACCAGGGUGUUCUGGUCAUUUUACUACUGGACUUCAAGAUCUGUUGGUAAAGUUUCUACCAAAUUCUGUAAAGAUGAAGCAACCUUUCAGUAUGCAACCUUGGGAUUCAUCUCUAGAGAUUGUCAAGAAGCUUGUUAAGGAGCAAAUUUACCAAAGAUUUUAUUGUUACCUUAUUUAAUGAAGUCCUUAGUUAGAAGCAUAAUGCAAUGUAUUUGGUAGAUGCUAGAUAUCCUCUCAUUUGGUUUUUUUUUGUUGCAUGUUUUGACGUCUUUAUAAUUAUCAAUAUGCUCAUGAAAAAAGAUUGUUGUGUUAGUUAAUACUGUUUUAUAAUCCUUCUGAUAGUCUAACUCUGUUUAAUUUUGCAGAUUUUUCUUAUUAUUGUCACUUGGUAUGUGUGUAAAAUACAAGAGCUGUAAUAAAAUAAUGGCUCAACGUGGCUUGAAAUCAAUAAAAUCAUUGAAGAAAUUAAUCAAAUAAGUCUAAUUAUGGAUACAGAAUCUUGUAAUAAAAUAUUUCUCUUCAAAUGUUUGUAGUUACUAAUGUGUUGUUUUUUGUUAGCUCUAUAUAGUUCCUGGAUCAUGCCUCAUUCUUUUGUGUUUGUUGGCCCUGACAAUCUAGAAAUUAGAUGUGAAAAAACUUCCAAGCUAUCUUUAUCUGUAGGCUGUGUAGCAGCUUUCAGUUUCUAAAGGUUGCUUCAGGUAUAUUGUUUCAUUUAACUUGAUUACAUUCAGGCCUUACAUACAAAAUUUUUUCUACCCCAUAAAAAUUAAUCAGGCCUGCACUUUGGUAGAGAACGGUUUGUGCAUAUCUGAUGCCCUAUAUGUCUUCCAUCAUAUUUUUGUUGAUUCACUCAACUCUGCCCAUUUUGUUUUUUCAUGUUAGGAAACAAAAGUUGUUAACAGGGUUUGGUCAGGGGUUGAAUUUCUUUAUGUGAAGUGUAUUUAUUGAUUACAAUGUUUUCUUGCAUCAUUGGAACCUUUUGUAUGUUAUUUUCCAAUAACACUGUUUCUGACUGAUAGAAGAUUUAUCAUCCUAUUUUUUUUUCUCUAUUGUGAAAUGCUGGUCUCCACCCCACCAUUUCUCUUCUCCAUGUCUUUUGAAAUGGAAAUAUAUUAAGGCAUUUAGUUGAGACAAUUACCUAUCAUUGGCAUUAAUCUUAAAAUAUGUGUUGACUUCUGUUGGCAGGUUUUCCAUUUCCUCUAUACUUACUCUCUUGUCAUUGAUGUCUGCCCAUUCAUCCUUGAUGAGUUUGCUCAAGCAUUUCAUGACAAGCUAAGAAAAUGGACUCACAACAAAGACAAGAGCACAAAGGAUGAUGAAUUGAAGGAUGGAGCAAGUUUCAUGCAUGGUUUACUUUUGUGUAUCUUGUAAUGUUUCUGUUUUUCAUUUUUGAAGUAAAAAAUGUUCAAAAACUUUAUUAUGCUAGGCUUUCAAACUUAAGUUAGAACUAAGAUCUCAUGAAGUAGACACAUUCAUGGUUUGAAUUAGUUAUUGUUUAAUGUAAUACUUAUGGUUUAUCAAUCUAUUGAGAAUUACAUUUUAUGAUUAA